rnacentral:sRNA from 1 species
ACUGGGCGUGGUGGUGUGCGCCUGUAAUCCCAGCUACUCAGGAGGUUGAGGCAGGAGAAUUGCUUGAACCCAGGAGGUGGAGGUUGCAGUGAGCCAAGAUCACGCCACUGCACUCCAGCCUGAGCAAUAGAGCAAGACUCUGUCUCAA